rnacentral:rRNA from 1 species
AACGGCCGUACCAUGCUGAAUAUACCGGUUCUCGUUAGAUCACCGAAGUCAAGCAUCAUUGGGCGCGGUCAGUACUUGGGUGGGUGACCACUUGGGAACACUGCGUGCCGUU